GACGAACGCUGGCGGUGUGCUUAACACAUGCAAGUCGAACGGAAAGGCCCUGCUUUUGUGGGGUGCUCGAGUGGCGAACGGGUGAGUAACACGUGAGUAACCUGCCCUUGACUUUGGGAUAACUUCAGGAAACUGGGGCUAAUACCGGAUAGGAGCUCCUGCUGCAUGGUGGGGGUUGGAAAGCUUCGGCGGUUGGGGAUGGACUCGCGGCUUAUCAGCUUGUUGGUGGGGUAGUGGCUUACCAAGGCUUUGACGGGUAGCCGGCCUGAGAGGGUGACCGGCCACAUUGGGACUGAGAUACGGCCCAGACUCCUACGGGAGGCAGCAGUGGGGAAUAUUGCACAAUGGGCGGAAGCCUGAUGCAGCAACGCCGCGUGCGGGAUGACGGCCUUCGGGUUGUAAACCGCUUUCGCCUGUGACGAAGCGUGAGUGACGGUAAUGGGUAAAGAAGCACCGGCUAACUACGUG
rnacentral:rRNA from 1 species